rfam:Desulfotomaculum kuznetsovii DSM 6115, complete genome.
GUGGAUGUAGCUCAGUUGGUUAGAGCACCAGGUUGUGGCCCUGGGGGUCGUGGGUUCGAGUCCCAUCUUCCACC